CCUCAUUCCUCCGCUGCUCACAUGGCCUCAGGAUAGGAUCCCUACAAACUGGAGCUGGACAAUAAAUGGCCUCAGGACAGCCUCUCUGCAAGAUGGCGUCAGACAUUAAAUGGUGGCAAAAGAUGUCUGUAAGCUGGGAACCACCUCAGACACUGAGCUGGUCUCAGGAAAUCCAGGAGACAUGAAGCAGAUGGUGAAACUAAACAAGGUGUGCUUACCCUGGACGGCCUGACCUUCACAUGACCUCCAGAGCAGCUGGUCCUCUGAUCAUGGCUCCUCCCCACCUGCACCUGGGUUCAGUCACAGGUGCUGGAAGACGUGGCACUGCAGGAAUCCUGGGAGUUCAAAGAGCUCAACCUGAGAAACAAGACUGUGGCGCCGCAAAGAACCACGUAAAGACAUGAAGACCCUUCCUGUGUGAGGAAUCUCCACCUUCAAACCUCCUGGUGCUCUGGAGGCUGCAGUGAAGACGGAAGAGACUUGAGGAAGGAGCCUCGCCUGUCAGACUCAGCACGGCACGGUUAAGGCCCUAAAACCAAGGAAAGAGCAGCUGCUGUCAGACUGAACAUGGGACACCUGAGGACAGGAAACAGGAAGAAGCCCCUCUCCUUCAUCAGAGACCCUGUGCUGAGGACUCCCUGACCUCCAGAGCAGGUGCUCUCUGGAUGGAGACCCUCAGAGCCUGCGGUCGACUCCAGAAUAUCCAGACUGUGUUUGCAGGAUGUGUGGAAAUAAAUAUGAAAAACAAA